CUUCACCCAGUCGACACGUGGUCGUUCUUGUCCUUUCCCAUCCCACGGAUUCCUUUCCUUGACCCUUCCCUACCCCUUGCCGUUAGUACAACGUGCAUUUCAGAAUUAAACUUUGUGAAAGUUUCUAUCCCACUUCCGCGUUAUCCUUCAUCCCAUCAACACGUGUUCAGAAAGACGAACAAAUUGUUCGUCUUUCCUAUCCUUUAAAUCCCUUUCCCAGAACCUUCCCACCCCCUUGCCGGUGGUAACCGAUCCCAUUCACGCCGGUAACCAUGCCGGAUGCAUCGUGGGGGAGAUGACAUCGUGCAUUGAAAAGUUUCGAUUGUGAUUGAUAAUUUAAUAUAGUGAAAGUCGAUUCGGGAACAGGGUACAUACCCGACGGUUUUCCCAAAUCUCCAAAUUGUGCUGGCAAAUUGCCUCGUAGCAGAACCAUCAAUUGAACAGAACAACAGCAACAACAUUUUUAUGCAUUUUGAUAUCCAAACAUUCCGAAGCUAAGAAAAAUACUUCUAUAAAUAUUGGCCAAUACAUUAAAAUGAAUGACUGAUACUGAAAACAGUAGCGAUUUUGAUUUCACUGCUACUCCCCCGUAGAAUUAGCGAAGGCGACUGCUGGCAAUUUAUUGCCUGAAAAAUCAAAGGAUUUAUACCUUAAAUAAUAUGACACUUUCAUGCAAUGGCAAAAAUUAAAGAGAGCUAAUUCGUUCUCCGAAAAUGUGAUUCUCGCCUAUUUUAGUCAGUUAGCUAAGUCUAACAAAGCUUCAACACUAUAGAAAGUGUAUUAAAUGAUUAGAACAACAAUUAACAUUAAACACAAUACAGAUAUAUCAAAAUAUGCCAGGCUACAAGCAUUUUUUAAAAAACAAUCUGAUGGUUAUCGAGGAAAAAAUCAAGUAUAUUAACUGGAGAAGAAGUCAACCAUUUUAUAAAUAAUGCUCUAGAUCAUAUUUAUAUUGCUACAAAGGUUGAUGUGAUAUUAGGAAUUAUGGGAGCUUGUCGAAAACAGGAGCUCUACUUAAUGAAAGUUUAGGAUAUUGAGAACUUGGGGUCCGUUAUAAUAAUAAAUGUUUCUAAUACAAAAACUAAAGUGCCUAGACAAUUUACUAUCACUGGAAAGUUUUAUACCUUAUUUAAAAAAUAUUUAUCUCUACGGCCACCAGAUAUUGCAACAAAUAGUAUCUUCAUUAACUUUUAAAAUGGACGCUGCACCAAGCAAGUGAUUGGAAUAAACAAACUAGGAAAUAUGCCUAAACAGGUGGCACAAUUUUUGAAUUUACCCAACCCUGGAUUAUACACGAGUCAUUGUUUUCAAAGAACAUCUGCAACAAUGCUUGUGGUUUCUGGGGCGAAUAUAGAAACAUUAAAAAGACACGGAAGGUGGAAGAUGGUACAGAAGUUGCUGAAGGAUAUAUAGAUAACUCAUUACACAACCGCCUAAAUGUUUUAAGUCAAAUAAUGCUCCAAAUUAAUGAAAAUGAGGAACCAGCACCCAAAUUUUAGCAAAAAAAAAAACUGCAGGAGUUACAAGUAGAGCUUCCUUGUGCAAGUGCUAACUCCCAACAGCAAAACAUAUUUGCCUCAUUAAUGACUAAAAACAUAUCGGAUUCCCCGAAAAAUAUUACAAUUCCAAAUUGUACUGGAAUUACAAUAAAUAUAUAUAACAAAAACCAUGAAAAAUAAAAGCAAACAUUAUUUGUAAUCUUUGUUGUUUUUUGAUAGUUUUGGUUUGUUCAAGAAUGAGAAAUAAACAUUUG